UACGUAGGGGGCAAGCGUUGUCCGGAAUCAUUGGGCGUAAAGAGCGUGUAGGCGGCUUGGUAAGUCCGUUCUGAAAGCCCGGGGCUCAACCCCGGGAGGCGGAUGGAUACUGCUGAGCUCGAGUCCGGAAGAGGCGAGUGGAAUUCCUGGUGUAGCGGUGAAAUGCGCAGAUAUCAGGAGGAACACCGAUGGCGAAGGCAGGUCUCUGGGCAUUAACUGACGCUGAGGAGCGAAAGCAUGGGGAGCGAACAGG
rnacentral:rRNA from 1 species